GGGGGCGGCGUUUCCAAAACCCAAGUGCGGCCCCAGAGCCGAAUAUUAAACAAUGAACAUUCUCCACUCUCACUAUCCGCCGCUUCCGGCUUCUCUCCGGGAACAACCUCAAACCAAGAGACCGGGGGGAGACCAGUGGCCUCGUGGGAAUGUCACAGAGACAUUCAAAUGUGGAAUUAUAAAGUUGGUUUGACGAUGGAUUAAUUCACUGAGGAAAUAUUUUAUUCUGAAAAAUACUGGAAAUCUGAAAGGAAAAAGACUGGAAAAGCUCAGUAGGUCUCUCUGGCCCUUUCAUGGCCCGAGGCCCCUCCGACCAUUCACGAUCCACCCGGCCAACCUGCAGAAGAUGGUGCGGCUUCUGAAGUGCUCAGGAUUCACAGAUCACAGAAUUGGUAUAGCGCAGGAGGCCAUUGGGCCCAUCGUGUCUGUACCGGCUGUCCGAAUGAGCAAAUCACUUAGUGACGUUCUCCUGCCUUGUUCCCUAACCCUGCACAUUAUUUCUUUUCAGAUAAUAGUCUAAUUCUCUUUUGAAUGCCUCAAUUGCCUGUGCCUCCUCCGCACUCUCAGAGUUUUGAAAGUGGAGGAUUUGCAGAUGGGAAACUCAAAACCAAACAAGACCUGACAGCAUCAAUUAAUUCAUCAGGACCUGGAUAUUAUCAGCCUUUGAUGCUUUUCUCGCAGAACCAUGUGUAAAAACACAGAUGGACCAACGAAGAGCUAGUUUGUAGUAGGAUAGGCAUUGGUGACAGACGUUCGCCCCGGCCUCCACUACAGGUCAUUUUGUUCAAGUCAUAUAGAAGGAGGCUCUUUAACUCAUUGUGCCCAAGCUGGCUGUCUGCAAGAUCUGAUCGGUUAGUCCCACAAGACCAGCAUGUGUUACCAAUCCCCAGUUGCCUGUGGAGAAGAUGUUUGAUCUUCUUGACCUGCUGCAGUCUGUGUGGGGAAGGUGUUCCCACAAUGUGUUAGGGUGUUAGAAGGGGAGGAUUUGCAGUCGGAAAACAGAAACAAAACAUCACAUCAGAAUCUGACAGAGUCGCAGAAUUUAUCAUAACCUGAAUAUCAUCGGAAUUGAACAUGGAAGGAGAAAGCACCGUUCACAGUGGAGACACACCGUACACGUGUCCUGUGUGCGGACGAAGCUUCAGCCAAUCAUCUGACCUGUUAGAACAUAAAUGCAGUCACACUGGGGAGAAACCAUGGAAAUGUGGGGACUGUGGGAAGGGAUUCAGAUCCCCAUCUGAGCUGGAAACUCAUCGGCGCAGUCACACUGGGGAAAGACCAUUCACCUGCUCUGAGUGUGUGAAGCGAUUCAUUAAUUCAUCCAACCUGUUAAAACACCAGCGAGUUCACACCAGGGAGAGACCAUUCACCUGCUCCGAGUGUGGGAAGGAAUACACUUCUUCAUUCUCCCUGGUGACACACCAACAUGUUCACACUGACAAGAGACCUUUUAAAUGCUGGGACUGUGGGAACUGCUCUAAAAGUUCCUGGGAACUGAUGUCCCAUCAGCUUGUUCACACUGAUGAGAGACCAUUCAGGUGCUUACACUGUGGGAUUUGGUUCAAGUCAUUAUCUGACCUCACUGUACACCAGCGCAUUCACACUGGGGAGAGGUCAUUCACCUGCCUCGCGUGUGGGAUGGGAUUUACCCGAUCAUCCAACCUGCUGAGACAUCAGUGAGUUUACACUGGGGAGAGGCCGUUCACCUGCCCUGAGUGUGGGAAGGGAUUCACUUGGUCAUACCACCUGCUGGAACACCAGCGAGUUCAUACUGGGGAGAGGCCAUUCAUCUGUUCUGAGUGUGGGAAGGGAUUCACUCAGUCAUCCAUCCUGCUGAAACACCAGCGAGUUCACACUGGGGUGAGACCAUUCAUCUGCCCAGAGUGUGGGCAGGGAUUCGCUCAGUCUUCCCACCUGCUGAGACAUAAACACGUCCACACUGAGGUAACAGCUUUUAAAUGUCCAGACUGUGGGAAGUGCUUUAAAAGAUCUUAGGAACUGAAGUCUCAUCAAUGUGGUCAUACUGAUUAGAGAUGGUUCAGAUGCUGUCACUGAAAUCUAGUGUUCAGGUAAUCAUCUUAACUCACUGUACACCAGUGUGGUCACACAGGGAAAGAGCUGUUCACCUGCCCGAGAGUGAGAAGGGAUUCAGUUGGUUAUUGCUCCUGCUAAGACACCAGUGAGAUCACAAUAAACACAGUGAUUGGAUUUUGUUGUUAAUCACAUCUAGGACUGAACCAUGUUUACUGGAGUCUGUUUCUGCUCAUGUUAAUUAAACUCCAGCCCAGCUAUGGGUUUAGUAUUGUGGAGAGAUGUCAAAUAAACAACUUUGUGUUU